AUCCCGGGGCGGGGUGGGGACCCGCGGCAUCGGCAUCCCGGGGAGCGGCAGGCACCAGCAUCCCGGGGACCCGCGGCGCUGGCAUCCCGGGGCGCGGCGAGGACCCUAAGAUCGGUGGAAU
rnacentral:lncRNA from 1 species